ensembl:lncRNA
CACUCACACACACACACACACACACACACACACACACACACACACACACACACACAGUGCUGUCUGGACUCUGGACUGGGUCGGAGGUGAAAUCUCUCAGACUGAUCAGACAAACAGAGAGCUCCUGACCUUUGACCUUCACAGGGAGCUCUGGUUGACCAACAGUCCAGCAGAGGCCUUCAGAGGCUCCUUAAGGGACCAUUUGUCUCUCAUGACCAACGACUUUGAACCCGUCGGUGGACUUCAACACCACCUCUACACACGUAUGCGGGCCAAUAGACAGGCUGGUUUGUGGUCAUGUGACCUUCCUGCUCUGUAACUGCACAGAUGAAUUAUGGGAUUGGAUAAUUGCUUGAUGUCGUCUCAGCGGCCCAGCAGGAGGUGGGUUAGCGCUGCAGCUAACGCUAGCAUUGGGAGGAAGUCUCACAUGAGACUGAUGAGGUCACAUGAUUCACUGCAUCCUCAUGCUCACAAAGAGGACCAGGUCAGUUUCUAUCAGAUGCUGCAAGGAAUCCUGGGACGCGUCAGAGUGGGAUCAAUAACAACUAUAUAACCGUGGUGACGAUAAUGAAGAACAACAACAUGUGACAUGUGACCAACAACAACAACGAGGUCUCAUGAAGACAGAGAACACAGCAACGUUAUUAACCCUCAACUGGACCCCCCAUGUGUGUUUGAGGCAGCUGUUUAACCCCAAACCAGCAGAGACCAGGUCUAGGUGGGGGUCUGCUGGCCUUCGGGUUGAUGACUGCCCAGGGACCUUUGAGCAACACUUGAGCGUGUCGCUCAUGUGACCUCUACUCGCCUGUCUGUCCUGACGAGUUCAGCGGUGGGGGCUAAAUGUUACCUCAUAGUCUCUUGGGGUGUGUGUGUGUGUGUGUCUGUGUGUGUGUGUGUGUGUGUGUGUCUGUGUGUGUGUGUGUGUGUAUGUCUGUGUGUGUGUGUGUGUGUGUGUAUAUGUCUGUGUGUGUGUGUGUAUAUGUGUGUGUAUUUGUGUGUCUGUAUGUGUGUGUGUGUGUGUCUGUGUGUGUGUGUCUGUGUGUGUAUGUGUGUGUCUGUGUGUGUGUGUGUGUGUGUGUGUAUAUGUGUGUGUGUAAAUGUGUGUGUAUGUGUGUGUCUGUAUGUGUGUGUGUAUAUGUGUGUGUGUGUCUGUGUGUGUGUGUAUGUGUGUGUCUGUGUGUGUGUGUGUGUGUGUGUGUGUAUAUGUGUGUGUGUGUGUGUGUGUGUGUGUGUGUGUCUGUGUGUGUGUGUGUGUGUGUGUGUAGCCAUUCAGAUCCACCAGCCUGAGGUGGUGAUAAUCUCAGCCAAUCAGGUCAAAGGAGGGAUGGACGACGUCCAAGUGGAGACAUGAAGGUCAGACUGGGUAAGGCGGCUCCUGCUCUCUGAUUGGCUCACAGUUUUUAACCCUCUGAUUGGCUCAGUGUCCCUGAACGCAUCGCGACCCUCACAGUGGUCUUUAUCUGUGCAUAAUUCACCUAUAACAUCUCGUCGUUUCCUCUCAUCUAUACUGAUCACUGAUUGGUCAGCGCUGACAACCUGAGUAAACUACCUCAACCCAUCAAUAAUAAUAACAUAUAAGUAGUAAUGGUGAGUUACUCUGCGUCAGUAGAGGAGGAGGAGACGUGAUGUUCACAUCAAACCAGAGAUUUUCCUUCUCAGAGCUGCUCUUCAGUCAGGUUAGUCAUCAGAUUACAUCUGAUGAUUAUAACAUAGAAUAAUCUUCUUCUUCUUCUUAUUGGGCGGCGUGUUGUGAUGAUAUGAGAUCUUUAACCGUUCUGAAGGGAACGAUGGUCCACCGGACAUCAACACCUUCUCCUUCUACCUCUACUUCUCCUUCUCCUUCUCCAACUCCUUCUUCCUCUCUCUCUUCUUCUCCAAUCUCCAAUUGUCUCAAUCAAUGAGCAUUAAAGCACAUCAUGGCCGACAGAUGGAAGUGUGGACGUUACUUUUCGCUCGUCGAAAUUAAAGACAGAAAUGUGGUGAGUUGUAACUUCUGUGCAGGUGCAAAGAAGAUCCACAUCUAAGAGAAGCGAUUCAAACCUUCCUGUUGAGCGACGCGCUUAGACAAAGCUGGACUCUGGCGGAAACAAAUGUAUCUACAGAGCUGCUAAGAGAAAAUCAGGAAUCAGGAAACAUUUGUUUGCCAAAAUAUGUCAAACAUACAAGGAAUUUGUCUUGGCGGUUAGUGCGCGACAGUAGACCGACAAGACAGCAGUGCACAAGUAAUAAAAUAACGUAGAAUGAAAUGCUAAUGCAAUGGGUUAGUAGAAUAAGGCUAAGGCUAUGGGUUAGUAUAAAACAAGGGAAUAAAGUUACAAAUUUUAAAUAUUAAAAAGUUAUAAAGAAAAACAUUAAGCAUAAAGUGCACUAACGAACAAGUAACAGACAAGAGACAAAGUGACGAGUGACGACAAAGUGAUGAAUUGCAGUUAAAGUGACAUGUGCAGUAUGAGGGGGAGUGACCGGUGGAAUGUCAGAGUCAGUCAGUGGGGGACCGGCUCUGUUGAUGAGCCCGACUGCCGACGGGAAGAAACUGUUGGUGUGGCGGGAGGUCUUAGUCCUGAUGGACCUCAGCCUCCUGCCAGAUGGAAGGGGCACAAACAGGUUUUGUCCGGGGCGAGAGGGGUCGGCUACCAUCUUUUUAGCUGCUUCAGAGACCUGGAAGCGAAC